rnacentral:lncRNA from 12 species
CCGUAAAGCAAAUUGCUCCCACCCUCCCUUAGCAUGUGGUAAGCCGUGUGUCCCAGCAGGCACGUGACUGAAAGUCUGAGCACAGCACAGCACCUGGGAAGCUGGAAUGGCCGUGUGAAACACCCAGGCUCCGUGUCCUGCACAGCAGCACCAGCCUCUGCUCUCCCACGCUCACUGGGCCAUGGUCUCUGCCAGCUCGUGCACUUCUCUGGAACUGCUUCGUCUGGAGACGAUGGGGAGUGUUCUGUCGCUGGGGAUGCACGUCCUUGCACCACGGUUUACUCUAAGCCUUAAUUUUCCUUGCUUUUUAGGGCUUGCAUCACACUGUCAGGCACUAUUGAGCAGACAUUUAUGUUUAUCUGCCUACCUGGUAAGGGAAAGGAACUGUGUCCAGGAAGACUUGGAUACCUGAGAUGAUGUUCAGACCAUUGAUGGGAGGAGAAGAAGGUGACUAGAAGAUGAUUUCACGUAGUCUUGGUCAUUCCCAAACCAAACCCCAGAGGUUUCCACAUACCAUGUGACUCAUGGGCUCAAGAGUUGGUGGUACUGAAUUCACUGGAGAUCAAAGAAUAUGGAGUUUCAUAGCAGGUUGGGCCCAGUCGGGGAAAACACCGAGUAGAAAUGUGUUGUUGGGUGUUGCAAUGCCAAAGUAUUCCUGAUCAGCUUCUUUCCCAUCUGCCUGCAGGCAGAGAGCAUGAAAUCCAGCCAGGCUUCCAGCUGAUGUGAGCUGGAGGGAGUGCCAUGGUUUAUUUUUGCUGGAGCUGUAGGAGAGCUUCAUUGGGGACCACAGUGUCCUAGUUUGAAAUAUGACUGCAGCCAUGAAUUGGGCACCUGUGUUUAUAGGCUCCCUGGGGCAGACUGUCUCAUCACCUCUGCAUGACAACAGCCAGCACAAUAAAGGCCUGAUCCUCCUCACAGCUUUUUUUUCUUUUCUUUUUUUUUUUUUUUUGGUCACUUCGGUAAUAGUAAUGAUCAACAGUAAUUAUCAGAACAGUAGUGGGAGUGUCCCAUAAUGCUAGUGGCUGGGGGAAUUCCACUAAGCGCAUCUGCUACAAUGCUUAGCGCUGGUUACCAGGCCAAACAAAUACACUGUGAGACCUGUGGCUCUUUCCUAGAUUUGGUUUCUGGAACAUGUGCUGGCUAAGCUAGUUUGAGGUGGAUUGCUGUUUACUCCAUCAUCCCUAAUGACACACUGCUCCUGUCCAGGGUGCCCCAGCUCCCGUGUGCCUGGCUGGCAUGCAGGUGACAGUCACUGCUGUGUUGCAGCCAAAACGUGGAGUCUGUGGACAGCUGAAGUCCCAGUGGUGGAGCAGGGCCUGGAGCACAAGGUGAGUCACAGCUCAGGGCUGCUUGGAUUCAGCAGGCCCAGCGCAGGCAGGGAAACAGCCUGCUAGUCAAUCCUUCCUCUGCUCAUGUAUGCUUAAGAUGAAAGAGCA